rnacentral:rRNA from 1 species
UACGAAGGGGGCUAGCGUUGUUCGGAUUUACUGGGCGUAAAGCGCGCGUAGGCGGAUCGAUCAGUCAGGGGUGAAAUCCCAGAGCUCAACUCUGGAACUGCCUUUGAUACUGUCGAUCUGGAGUAUGGAAGAGGUGAGUGGAAUUCCGAGUGUAGAGGUGAAAUUCGUAGAUAUUCGGAGGAACACCAGUGGCGAAGGCGGCGCACUGGUCCAUUACUGACGCUGAGGUGCGAAAGCGUGGGGAGCAAACAGG